rnacentral:rRNA from 1 species
GCUGGUUCUCCCCGAAAGCUAUUUAGGUAGCGCCUCGUGAAUUCAUCUCCGGGGGUAGAGCACUGUUUCGGCAAGGGGGUCAUCCCGACUUACCAACCCGAUGCAAACUGCGAAUACCGGAGAAUGUUAUCACGGGAGACACACGGCGGGUGCUAACGUCCGUCGUGAAGAGGGAAACAACCCAGACCGCCAGCUAAGGUCCCAAAGUCAUGGUUAAGUGGGAAACGAUGUGGGAAGGCCCAGACAGCCAGGAUGUUGGCUUAGAAGCAGCCAUCAUUUAAAGAAAGCGUAAUAGCUCACUGGUCGAGUCGGCCUGCGCGGAAGAUGUAACGGGGCUAAACCAUGCACCGAAGCUGCGGCAGCGACACUAUGUGUUGUUGGGUAGGGGAGCGUUCUGUAAGCCUGCGAAGGUGUACUGUGAGGUAUGCUGGAGGUAUCAGAAGUGCGAAUGCUGACAUAAGUAACGAUAAAGCGGGUGAAAAGCCCGCUCGCCGGAAGACCAAGGGUUCCUGUCCAACGUUAAUCGGGGCAGGGUGAGUCGACCCCUAAGGCGAGGCCGAAAGGCGUAGUCGAUGGGAAACAGGUUAAUAUUCCUGUACUUGGUGUUACUGCGAAGGGGGGACGGAGAAGGCUAUGUUGGCCGGGCGACGGUUGUCCCGGUUUAAGCGUGUAGGCUGGUUUUCCAGGCAAAUCCGGAAAAUCAAGGCUGAGGCGUGAUGACGAGGCACUACGGUGCUGAAGCAACAAAUGCCCUGCUUCCAGGAAAAGCCUCUAAGCAUCAGGUAACAUCAAAUCGUACCCCAAACCGACACAGGUGGUCAGGUAGAGAAUACCAAGGCGCUUGAGAGAACUCGGGUGAAGGAACUAGGCAAAAUGGUGCCGUAACUUCGGGAGAAGGCACGCUGAUAUGUAGGUGAAGCGACUUGCUCGUGGAGCUGAAAUCAGUCGAAGAUACCAGCUGGCUGCAACUGUUUAUUAAAAACACAGCACUGUGCAAACACGAAAGUGGACGUAUACGGUGUGACGCCUGCCCGGUGCCGGAAGGUUAAUUGAUGGGGUCAGCGCAAGCGAAGCUCUUGAUCGAAGCCCCGGUAAACGGCGGCCGUAACUAUAACGGUCCUAAGGUAGCGAAAUUCCUUGUCGGGUAAGUUCCGACCUGCACGAAUGGCGUAAUGAUGGCCAGGCUGUCUCCACCCGAGACUCAGUGAAAUUGAACUCGCUGUGAAGAUGCAGUGUACCCGCGGCAAGACGGAAAGACCCCGUGAACCUUUACUAUAGCUUGACACUGAACAUUGAGCCUUGAUGUGUAGGAUAGGUGGGAGGCUUAGAAGUGUGGACGCCAGUCUGCAUGGAGCCGACCUUGAAAUACCACCCUUUAAUGUUUGAUGUUCUAACGUUGACCCGUAAUCCGGGUUGCGGACAGUGUCUGGUGGGUAGUUUGACUGGGGCGGUCUCCUCCUAAAGAGUAACGGAGGAGCACGAAGGUUGGCUAAUCCUGGUCGGACAUCAGGAGGUUAGUGCAAUGGCAUAAGCCAGCUUGACUGCGAGCGUGACGGCGCGAGCAGGUGCGAAAGCAGGUCAUAGUGAUCCGGUGGUUCUGAAUGGAAGGGCCAUCGCUCAACGGAUAAAAGGUACUCCGGGGAUAACAGGCUGAUACCGCCCAAGAGUUCAUAUCGACGGCGGUGUUUGGCACCUCGAUGUCGGCUCAUCACAUCCUGGGGCUGAAGUAGGUCCCAAGGGUAUGGCUGUUCGCCAUUUAAAGUGGUACGCGAGCUGGGUUUAGAACGUCGUGAGACAGUUCGGUCCCUAUCUGCCGUGGGCGCUGGAGAACUGAGGGGGGCUGCUCCUAGUACGAGAGGACCGGAGUGGACGCAUCACUGGUGUUCGGGUUGUCAUGCCAAUGGCACUGCCCGGUAGCUAAAUGCGGAAGAGAUAAGUGCUGAAAGCAUCUAAGCACGAAACUUGCCCCGAGAUGAGUUCUCCCUGACCCUUUAAGGGUCCUGAAGGAACGUUGAAGACGACGACGUUGAUAGGCCGGGUGUGUAAGCGCAGCGAUGCGUUGAGCUAACCGGUACUAAUGAACCGUGAGGCUUAACCUUACAACGCCGAAGCUGUU